rnacentral:misc_RNA from 1 species
UACGGAGGGUGCAAGCGUUAAUCGGAAUUACUGGGCGUAAAGGGUGCGUAGGCGGCAAUAUAAGUCACUAGUGAAAGACCUGGGCUUAACCUGGGUUGGUCUGGUGAAACUGUAUAGCUUGAGUAUAGGAGAGGGCAGUGGAAUUUCCGGUGUAGCGGUGAAAUGCGUAGAUAUCGGAAGGAACAUCGGUGGCGAAGGCGGCUGCCUGGCCUAAUACUGACGCUGAGGCACGAAGGCGUGGGUAGCAAACAGG